UACAGAGGUGGCAAGCGUUGUUCGGAAUUACUGGGCGUAAAGGGCGCGUAGGCGGCCAUCUAAGUCAGACGUGAAAUCCCCCGGCUUAACCUGGGAACUGCGUCUGAUACUGGACGGCUUGAGUAUGGGAGAGGGAUGUAGAAUUCCAGGUGUAGCGGUGAAAUGCGUAGAUAUCUGGAGGAAUACCGGUGGCGAAGGCGGCAUCCUGGACCAUUACUGACGCUGAGGCGCGGAAGCUAGGGGAGCAAACGGG
rnacentral:rRNA from 1 species